rfam:Cavia porcellus supercont2_42 genomic scaffold, whole genome shotgun sequence.
GCCGGGCGUGGUGGUGCAUGCCUGUAGUCCCAGCUACUCGGGAGGCUGAGAUGGGAGGAUCGCUUGAGUCCAGGAGUUCUGGGCUGCAGUGCGCUAUGCCAUUGGGUGUCUACACUAAGUUCAGCAUCAAUAUGGUGAUCUCCCGGGCGCGGGGGACCACCAGGUUGCCUAAGGAGGGGUGAACCGGCCCAGGUCGGAAACGGAGCAGGUCAAAACUCCCGUGCUGAUCAGUAGUGGGAUCGUGCCUGUGAAUAGCCACUGCACUCCAGCCUGGGCAAUAUAGUGAGACCCUGUCUCUU